AACGAACGCUGGCGGCAUGCCUAACACAUGCAAGUCGAACGAAACCUUCGGGCUUAGUGGCGCACGGGUGCGUAACGCGUGGGAAUCUGCCCUUCGGUGCGGAAUAACUUCCCGAAGGGGAUGCUAAUACCGGAUACGCUCUUCGGGCCAAAGAUUUAUCGCCUUUGGAUGGGCCCGCGUUGGAUUAGCUAGUUGGUAGGGUAAUAGCCUACCAAGGCGACGAUCCAUAGCUGGUCUGAGAGGAUGAUCAGCCACACUGGGACUGAGACACGGCCCAGACUCCUACGGGAGGCAGCAGUGGGGAAUAUUGGACAAUGGGCGAAAGCCUGAUCCAGCAAUGCCGCGUGAGUGAUGAAGGCCUUAGGGUUGUAAAGCUCUUUUACCCGGGAUGAUGAUGACGGUACCGGGAGAAGAAGCCCCGGCUAACUCCGUG
rnacentral:rRNA from 1 species